AGACGCUGCAGUUUACCAGGAGAUGCAGGUUUGGUCGGAGUUUUACCGGAUUUGAAUUGAUGAGAACUGCAUCUGUUUCACUGUCGAGCAAGGAUCGUGAACAUCAUCGUCAAAGGUGAAGGUGGUGUGGGAGAUGGGCUUCAAUCUUUACAUCUACUUGGGCCAAAAUCUGGGCCCGAUAUCUCAUAACCUAAUUAAGCCCAAUAGAAAUGAGAUCUGAUUUCCCUGCAACACGAUUUGGUUCGUUGCAAGAACAGCGUUCGAUUUGGCGGCGAUGAUAGCUGAGAAGCUCGAACCAGUUGAUUGCUGAUGUGUGACCUUGAACAGAAGGACUCGUAGUGAGCUAUCUCCUAGCCCCUAUUCCCUUCUUUUUUUUUUUUAAAGAAAAGAAAAGGCUUGCAGAUUUACUAAAGCUAGCUUUGAUGAGACGGAGGUGUUUGAAGCUGAACGGAGACUGGAGAAGAGAUGAACGCCGAGUUUGCCGGUGGAGAGGAUAUAUAUCUGUAUUUUAAUAUGAGCUGAUCUCAAGGUGUAGUCGUUGAGAUCCCCGUCUUGAUGAGUUGAUGGCAGAGAAUAGUCCCCUAGAUCCCCUUUUUUUUGUAAAUAAAAACAAACUGGCUUGAAGUACCCAUUGUGAUGUUGUCCACAACGAGCUGCUUUUCUUUUAUGUUGAGCUUGAUGUCUUGUUGAGGCGUUGAUGUCUUGUUGAGGCGUUGAUGUCUGAUGAAUUCAAAAUGAGUUCGUGAAAUGCCUUUUGAAGACUUAAAGUCAGGAUCUGAGAAACCGUUCUCCAUAUGGGUUUGAGCUUGUUCUUGAAUAGAAUUUGUUCAUGGGCGAACAAGUUAAACCGUAGGUAGGGUACUUCAUCUUUUUGGUCUCUUAAUCAUCUUAGAGCAUAACAACACUAUCUUUAGGGUGGUCAAGAUUGCUGUGGUGGUGAGGUUAGAGUGGGGGGCUCGCACACAAACUGAAAUAAAGCUGUGGAAGCUCGUUUCGCUGGUCGGCAUCUGGUUCGGUAUGAGAGAGACGAGUAUGUGGUGGAGGUGCCAUUGGGGAGACGUUAAAGACCAAUGAAUUCAAGGCGACUUUGUGAACUGUUCUCGAAGAAUUGCGGAGGUUUUGAUUAUGUAGAACUUAGCUUGUCCUUUUUGUUUGACGAAUACGUUUUGGAGAUGGUCAUCAGAAUCCAUGUCGUUGAUUGGGGAUUUUAGUUUGUGAGGGCAACGGAAGAGAUCGGAGAUAUACUGCCAUCAUUCGAUUCUUUUUUUUUUUUUUAACUCUCGUCGCCUUACCUGGAAGGCCAAUUGUUAAUACCGAAUAUCACACAAAAAAUUUAGAAAUCUUAUUAAAGUUAUAGCUGAACUCGAAAUAAGCUGCUUACAUACCCAAAAUCGGGAUCAAUUGGGCUGAUCUUAAUUCAUACCGGACUAAACCGGAGGUGCGGAGUACACCACCAACAACUACUGACACUAUUAUUGGAGACAUGUAACUUCUUCAUUUUUAAUGAAUCUAUUCAGUUCUUUCGGUUUCCUUUAUCAACUUCAGACUUGAUAACACUAGAGACAGUGUUGUUUAAGUCUGGGGAGGUGGUACCUGACAUUGUGUUUGUUUUUCUUAGAGUCAGUUGUGUCAAAUUGUUUUUGAGUCAAAACUUGUAGGAGAUUAUGAUAUAUCAAAGAUUAAUUUGUUUUGACCCCAAUAAGUAUGGGGAGAGAAAAAGUACCAGAGAUUGUAUGGUUAAUUUGUCAAAGUAUAGUACGGGAAAGAUUCUAGAAGGUUGUUGGUAUUGGAAUCAUUGAUGAGACCCAGCGAUGAAGGGUUAUGGAUAAUGUUUUGAAAUAAUGGGUUCAAUCUGGAAGGCUGUGAAUAUCUGCUGAGAAGUAUAUGGUGGUUCGAUUUGGAUUGAUACAACAGUGUGUGGAUUAUAAGAUGAUCGUUCAGCGUGAUGUUUUAUAGAGAAGUUGAAUCUCUGUGAUUUUCAAACCUCUUCCCUUGUUUGGUUUUCUGUUUACUUGAGGGCAAGCAAAUGAUAAGUCUGAGGAGUUGAUAUAUCAUGGUUUUUAUGGUUUUUGAUCAUGAUAUAGGUUUUAUUUAUACAGUCUUUUUAGUGUUGUUUUUUGAGUCUUUACAGAUCCUAAGUGCGUUUGGAGCAUAAUUGGAGAUUUUAGAGCAAUUUGGAGGUAAGUAAGGAUUAAUUUCAUGAAGGAUGAUUUAUUUGUCUUGGUGUCGCUCGACACCGAUUUUGUGGAUAAAGGGAAACAUGACUUUUUUCCAAGUUUUGAAGAAUUUCUGCACUUGGGCCUAGAAGUCUCCAAUAUUUGCAAGGAAACUCAACUCGUGUUUUCAGCCACCUGUUUUGGCUUACCUUGGAUUUUCUUGGCUGAACCUAAAUUUUUAUUCUUCGAUACUUGGAGAACUUUUUGAGGGGAGACAAGUCUGAGACUCUGAGAGAAGAUUUCGAACCCGUGUUUCUUAAACUCAUUAUUCUUAUCUGCAAUCUAUUCAAGCAUGUUUAUUGUUUCAAUCUCCAUGUCUGAGUAGUUUGAUUGUUAGGUUUAGGGUUCUCAGAAAGGAUCUCUUUGAAUGCUAGAUUAACUGAUUUGUUAGGAUUCAUAAUUUGAUUAGUUCUUCACCAUAAGUUGUUCUUAAAGCUAAUUCUGGAUGGGCCACUUGGAACUUAGAUCUUAAGUUAAUCGAUUAGACAGGAAAGUGUGAUUGAUAAUUUGAAAGAACCUAGGGUGAGCAAAAUAGCUAUCCGCAAAGAAAUUUGGUUUAGAUAUUUUGUGAACAAAUCGAACCUGCACUUAAUGCUUGUUUAGUCUUUUAGGAUUUGCAAAAAAAUUUGGAAUUAUGGAAUUAAGACUUAGAUAAUUCUUGCAGCGAAAGUUGGUUAAUUAUAAUUUCGUGAUUUGAGUUCAAGAACCGCACUUAAACUGAAUCCUGACUAAUUGGUUUAUCUGCAUUCUCUGAGCUUCUUAGAAAUACCCUGAGCCUAAUUCUUUCUUACUGAUUUUACAACCGUUUCAUUUCAUAGCUGAUGUUAUUUUAAUAGUUUUUCACUUAGCGUAAUUCAAGCCUAGAUAGUUUAUUGAGCGAAUCUCGAGUCUCUGUGGUUUGACCCUUAUUAUAAUACAAUUGCAUAUUUGUGCUUUUGCACAGUAGCUUUAGGGAUUAAACUUUGACCAGAUCAUUUAUGUGGACGAUAAGCGGCUUCCCUGCAUACAGAAUGCUACCAGGUUGGACUACGCACGGGAAGUUAUCUUGUCCUUAUUGUCUUGAUAUGACCGAUGUAUUCAGCUUACACAUGGCCAUAAAACAUGUUGGUUUGGUUGUCAUCGCUGAUUUCUACCACCCAACCAUAAAUAUCAAAGAAACAAGCGACUGUUUAGGAAGAACAAAGCUGUUCGUCUCCCUCCACCAGUGUAUGUAACUGGCACAAGAGAAGCAUUUUUUGGGAACUUUCGUACUUGAAAGAUCAUUUGCUAAGACACAAUCUUGAUGUCAUGCACAUUGAGAAAUUUUUUUUGAUAACAUCAUGCAUACAGUGUUGAACGUUCAAGGAAGAACCAAAGACAGCGGAAAAUCACAGAUGGACUUGCCUGAUAUAUGGAAUAGAAUUGAGUUGCAUAUUUUGAGCAAUGGGAAAGCACCAGCUCCUAUAUUUUGGUUGGGUGCAGAACAAAAACCUGCGUUGUUCAAUUGGGUUUCAUCCACCGUGAAAUUUCUUGAUGGGUAUGUAUCUUAUUUUGCUAAAUCUGUGGAAAAAGGACAAAAGUUUUCAGGGAUGAAGAGUCAUGACUGCCAUGUGUUUAUGCAAUGGUUACUUCUUUUCGCAUUUGGUAAACUCCUACCAGGAAAUGUUCAUGAGGCACUUGGAGGCAUUGGAUCAUUUUUCUGUGAUCUUAGUACACAGACGUUAUCAGAAGAUGUAGUUGCACAAUUGGCUACAAAUAUUUCACUAUUGCUGUGCGAUUUAUAGAAGAUAUUCACACCCGAUUUUUUUGAUGUUAUGGAAUAUCUACCCAUUCAUCUCACUCACGAAGCAGAACUAGGUGAACCAGUUCAGUUUAGGUGGAUGUAUCUGUUUGAACGCUUCAUAAAGCAUUUAAAUAGGAAGGCCAAAAACCUAGCUAAAGUUGAAGGCUCUAUCAUUGCGGGAAGUUUGACAAAAAAAACUUUGCAUUUCUCGUAUUACUAUUUCGCUCUAAAAGUCCGUACACGCAAACGAGCUCCACGACGUUAUGAUGAUGGGGGUGUGGGACAAACUUAUGCAGUAGAAGGUGUACCAGAUAUUUUCUCACUGGUGGGACGUAUUAGUGGAAAGCUGAAAGAAACUUGUUGGUCCAACGAAAAAGACUAUCACAGCGCACAUACAUACAUCCUUCUAAACUGUGACGAAUUGGCUACUUAUAAGACGUACGUAGUUAAGUAAUAAUUUAAUUAGUUAGUAUAUUUUGAUCUCAUUGAUUUUAUUAAUUAACCAUGUUGUGUUUUGCAGCAUUUUUGCUAGUCAGGUAUUAGAAUGCAUUGAAGGCGUUUCAGAAGAUGAAAUCAACACUCAGAAAGACCAACAUUUCACCCCCUGGUUAAAAGCUCAAGUAAGAUAUAUAGAAAUAUUAUUAAUAGACUUCUCUAAAAAAUAAUUAACAUGCAUAUACAAUUCAUAUAUCGAUCUGUUUAGGUGGAUCAUAAUGACCAACAUAUCCAGUAUGGUUUCAUGAGUUACUCAAAGGCCUCAUAUCAAAGACAACAACAACAACCUUUCAUUUCACUCGAGGUUUUGUUUUCCAUACGUACACUCAUGACAUCCAACAGACAACUACCAACUAUGGAGUAUGUGUACAAGGUGAAGUGGAUUAUUAUGGGAUCUUAAAAGACAUAAUUGAUGUGAAAACUGUUCUCUUCAAAUGUAAUUGGUUUGAUCCAACAGUUGGACACAGAGUACGUACUAACAAGUUUGGGGUGAUAGACGUUAAUGCCUCACGACGGUACAAUAAGUUUGAGCCUUUUAUCCUGGCAUCACAAGCAUAACAAGUCACAUUUUUUCCAUAUCCACGAGUUUUAAAUACUGGGAUCUCAUAGUUAGUGGUCAUUAAAGUGGCUCCAAGGGGUAUAAUUGAUGGUGUAGAUCUCCCGCCUAUGCAACAAGAUGAUUGUGUUGACAUCACUGAACCAGAGAUUGAAGAAAAUGUUCUUUGAAUUGAUUCACAUAAUAAACAAGUUGAAGAUCUACACGAUGAUACCAAAGAAGAUUUAGAUGAAUUUGGUGAGAGUGAUGAUGAUGAUGAUGAUGAUGAUGAUGAUGAUGAUGAUGAUGAUGAUGAUGAUGAUUUAGAAAAUAUGAAUGCAACCGAAGAAAACAUAUCAUCAGAUGAUUCCGAUUGAUAAUUUUAUGUAUGAUCACAUUAUGGUAUCAAUAAAACAUGUUUUUGUUUAAGAUGUGUUAACUAAAAUUUUUUCAUUUUUGUAUUAAGAAGGUCUGAUUUUAUAUGUGAAAUGAUAGACUUUUACGACAAAUUUAUGACGAUUUAGGCAAAAUCGUCGUAAACUCGAUGUAAAGUUCAAACCCAUGACAUUUUAAUUUCAGGAUUUAGGAUAUCAUUUUUGUAUUUAAACAGUUUUUUUUCAAUUUAUAAAAUAAUUUUUGUCAAGAAUGUAGCCUUUUACAUUUUUAUUACAAUUCAAACAUACAACAUUUUACUUACAAUUAAAUCUAUAUGGAUAAGUAAUUUAAGUUUCACAUCAGAUUUAUGACGAUUUAGCCCAGAUCGUUGUAAAAUUGAUGCAAAGUCUGAACCCUAAGAUAGGGUUUGAUCUUUCUCACCUUUAAUCUUCAGUUUAUUUGUUCACAUUUCUUACAAGGGUUUAUCAUAGCAUAAAACAUUAAAUUUGAAGUAUAAAGACAGAAUUUUACGUCGAAUUUACGAUGAUUUAGGCAAAAUCGUCGUAAAUUCGACGUAAUGUUUCAUCGACUUUACGACGAUCUAGACAGAAUCAUCGUAAAUUCCAUGUAAUGCCUGAACCCUGAUAUUUGAAAACAUGAUUUUAAGCCCAUUCCUCGAAAGAAGUUUUUAUGGGAUCCCUAUCUACCAAAAUUUUUACUUCUGGUUCCGGCGAACGAAUAAUCAUUGAGUCCUCCUCUUUCCGGACAACACAUACAAAGAAACCCGCCAACAGUCACUCAAGUAAUUAGUGAACCAAUAUUUCAAUCAUGAAAUUUGCAUGAAAUCACUUCUUUUAAGGUACAUAUCAGUUUCAGAUUAAAAAACAAAAUUCAACCAAAGUAUUAAAAAUGUAUGUUAUAAGUGUUCAUAAGUAUAUAUAUAUCUUUGAUGGAAGAUGUUAACCUUUUGCUUAAACUGUGUAAAGUCUUUUCCUGAUUUAUUUGCUUACUAUAACAUGAAUUCAACUCAUACAAAGUCUUUAUUGAUGCAUAAGGACAUUUUCUAAAAUGUUAAAAAUUAGAUUAUAUGAAAUUUCAAAAAAUUCAUACCAAAGCCGUGGGAUUUUUGCAACGAGUUUAUGAUGAUCAGAUAUAUUUAAUUAAUUUUUUUUAAACUGGCCAUGAAAAACAAACCAAUUACCAACACAUUUACAAUGUUUCGUCGUAAACUCGAUGCUAUAGGGACUUUUUCCACGUGUUUUGUUCUUAUUUGGUUUUAUAUGCGGCCAGAUUUAAUGUUGAAUUUAUGACAAAAUCAUCGUAAAUCCAUCAUAAAAAUCUAUAUAUAUAUAUAUAUGAUCGCCAUCUUUCCCUCCUUCUUCACUCAUUCCUCCCAUUUCUUUCUCUCUCUAGCAUUCUUCCCUCUCCCUCGCUACUCCUCCUUCUCUCUACAACCCAAGGUAUGUUUAAAAAAAUAUAUAUUUAUAUUAAUUAUAUAGAUAAACGGAUUUAGUCAGAAAAGAAUUUAGAUAGGAACAGAAUUAGAUAUAUGGAACUAAUUAGAAUUUUAUUUCAAUUUUUUACAGAUGCCGCGCUCCCGUCACUAUAUUCAUUUAAUGUGUGAUGGGACGUCUGUCUCACGGACGAGUGCCACACCUACCACUGAGAUACCAUCGUCUUCAGAUGACACACAAAUUUUCGAGACGGGAGUCCAAUCCGCACCACCCCCACUGCCGGCAAGAGGACCUCAACCACCACACCCAUAUGCCCGCUACAUAGUGGAAGAUCUUCUCCUCCAACCGGGGCGGGCAGAGUUACGUUGGUUGGCGCGUUCUCGACCACCAAAUAUUUAUUGGUACAUUUUUUUCAAUGUUUUCAAAAUAUUAAUUAAUUGAUAUAUUUUUAUUUAACAAAUUUUUGUUUGUAAGUUUGGCAUCGAUUGGACGUAGCGUGACUUUUACCAUCAAGAGAUACUUCGCCGAACCUCACUACAGUUGGAGUAAGGUUUCAGAAAAGAUUUUCAAGAUGUGGUACAAAUGUUUUGCGGUAAGUAUUUUUUUAGCAUUUUUAUUUAUAAAAUCAAAAUUAAAUAGGUACAUAUAUAUAUGUAUAUAUAUUGUUUUGGAUAAUUUUGUUUUGCAUGAAUGAUGGAACUAGGAGACCUUUAUUAAUGAGACGGUCUAGACCGAGUUUAGGAAGAAGGCGAUGAAACGGCACGUCAGCACCGUUUCAUAUUGGAAGAGGAAGUGGGAAGUCGACGGCGAUGACUCGAAGCCCAAUUACAUGUCGUUUGCGUGUUGGAACAGGUUGAAGGCUUACUGGCUCGACCCGCAUGCACAGGAUACGAUGGCAAAGUGUUCGGCCAUUCGAAACAGGAUCGGCCCAUAUGGUCAGAAGUUAGUUACCCCCCACACUUCUGGCCAGACAUCAUUUGCGGGAAGACGCCUGAUAAUGGUGCGAGUUUUUUUAAUUUAAUUAAAUAAUAAUUUUAAUAUUAUUUAAAAAAUUUUAAUUUAUUUAAUUGUAUUUAACAUUUUCGUAGCCAAAUGGAGGAGAACUUCUUCAAAUGAUGGCGGUCUUUUGUAGAUGCUCGCUCGGAGAAGGUCUACAACGAUUCAAUGGAGAAGAUCACAGAACGGCAAACUCAUGUCUCACCUGACGGUAUGAUCCAAUCCGUCUUUUUGACUGUCCUCGAGCAAGAUAAGAUCUUUGAAGAGGUAAUAUUUCUUUCUUUUAAUAUUUAAUUAAUAAUAUUUAAGUUUAUAUGAUUUUUAAUUGUAUUAAUUUUUAAAAAUAUUUGUAGGUUGCUCCAAGGAAGAAAGGCUGGAUUUUAGGGAUGGGCUAUAUUAGAGAUUUUUCAGUCGUCUCCACUACUGGUUGGCCGGCUUACGAGGAUCCACUUCUUCUGCGGAAUGAGAUAGAAGUCGUCCACGCAGGGAUCACCAACUUGCGGACUGAGAAAGUCAGCAAAAGCAAGAGAUCCAGUCGUUCAACAGCCUAUUCGACAUCAUAGCGGCGAGUAACCCGGUAUUGGAGGUCGCAUUAAGAGAUAGGCAAAGGCAGGGCCUGGGAUCCACAUCCACUUGGGUUCUGCGGAGUGUUACCAGCGGUGAAGCAACUACCGGAGGUGAGGCGGGUACCGGCGGUGAGGUGGUGAGGCGGGUACUGGUGGUGAGGUGGGUACCGGCGGUGAGACACAGACGGGAGACGUCGAUUUUACUAUCGAUGAUUAUAAUCUUAACCUGAACACCAAUUAGUUUUUGUAAAUUUUUGGAAUUUAUUAUAUUUUUAAAUUAUUAUUUAUGAAUUCAGAUAUUUUUUAUUAAUAUUAUUUUUGAUUUAGUUUAUCUUUAAUUAAUUAAAAAUAAAUUUUUUUAAAAAAUAGUAUUUUUGUUUUCGAUGUAAAAUUGACGUAAAUUAACAACGAAUUUACGUUGAAAUACUUACAAUGAAUUUAGAUUAAUGUUGUUUACGACGAAUUACCAUCAAAUAUUUAUGAUGCUUUAUAGUCGAAAAAAAUUCAAUAUUUCGAAUUUUAUUUUAUCAGAAAAUCGUUGUAAAAUCAAUAUAAAUUUACAUCGUUUUUACGUCAAUUUAGGGUCUAACUGAUGACUAUUUGGGGAAUAACAGGAAUGAUAAGGAAAAAGAAUAAAAGGAAUCAUAUAGAAAAAAUAUAAGGAAUCAAUGUAGAGAAGGAAUGGAACAGAUUAUCAUAAUAAAUGGUAAUUAAAAACAGGAACAAAAAAUGGAACAAAUUCACAUCAAAUUCAUGUCAAACAAUAUAUUUUUACCAAUUUUUAUUUUUCCUUAUCAUUCCCUAUUUCCUGUCAAAUUCAAUAAGGAAUAUAUUUGUUUUAUAAUUCCUCUUAUAAGAAGGAAUAGAGAGGAAUUAUGUGUAACAAAAAUUCUAUUUAAAUUGUAAAAAAAUUUAGGAAUUGAGAGGAAUAUCAUAUUCCCUAUCAUUCCUUUCCUCAGUUAUGGUCACCAAUUGGACUCGUUGUAAUAUCGAUGUAAAUAUUUACGUUGAUUUUAUGACGAUUUUGUACCGUCGAAUUAUAACAUUUUUGAAUUAAACCAACAUUUACGUCGAUUUUACGACGAUUUUAAUUUUACAACAUUCAUUUUACGACGAAUUAGAAUUCAUCGGUAUUUUGAUGCAAACUCUGAUUAACAUCGAAUCUACAUCAAUUUGAUGCGACGUAAAAACAAUGUUUUCUUGUAGUGUCGUAAUUUACUUUUUUGAUUUUAUUAGUUUUCAUUCUUUACAAACCCAAAUCUUUUGUUUUUUUUUAAUUGUUAUUUUGUGCAUUUAAAAAUAAAUAAAAAUAUAAAUUUAUAUUAUUAUAUUAACACAUAUUAUGAUCCGAUAAGUUGGAGUCACUCACCUUGAGUGCCCUCGCCUCUAUAUAAUAAGAUACCUUAUACUAUCUGUGCACAUUGAAUGAUCCACACAUUUUUUUUUGUAAUUAAUGUUCCAACGUUCUAUCACAUUAUAUAUCUCUUCUGAAUUAUAUUAAGAUGAAAUAACGAAGUCACAAUGCAGAGCAUUAGUAAUUACAUCUGAAACAUAAAAAUGAUAAACAAAAGCUUGAUUAUCCAUGAUAUCAGCCUUGGCAAGAAUAUCUGCUGCAGAGUUUCCAUCCCUUGAAAUCCAUUGAAACUUGAUAUCUUCAAACUUGAUAUCAAGAAUAUAUAUAUAUAUAUAUAUACGUAUAUAUUUGAAUAAAUCUAUAACACUUAUAAAAAUGUCCUUACAAAGUGGUGUAAUUAUGAGUUAAAAACUAGAUUGUUGUAACAACACGUGGUAUUAACAAAUUUUAAAAACAAAAUGCCACUUUGAAUAAGUGUUGUGUAUAUCAAUAUUUAAAACUAGUUAACUUGCCUACGUGAGGCGUAGGCUAUAUAUGCUUACCAAAUGUAAUUUUAUAAAUAAAUGAUUUUAAGAAUAUUAAUUUUUUUUAUCUCUAUUCAUCCGAAGUUUACAAAUAAGUUUUUGAUUUUAACAAAAAGGUUAAAAAAUCUUUCUAAAAUAUAAAGAUAAGAAAUUGAAAAUUAUACUCUAGAUAUCAUAAUUAGUGACAUUUCAUUAGACAUAUAUAUUUCAUUUAUUUAUUAUUUUUUUCUUAAAUUUUUACUAUAAACAUCAGAAAUCGUAAACACUAUAAUAAUUAGCGAUAUUCUAGCAUAAAUUUUGUUUUUUUGUUUGUUUUGAAACGACAUUCUAAAUUUUAUUCCAAUUUUUGUUUCUUUUAACAUUUUAGUUAGAUUUUUUUCUAUUUCAGAAACAUAAGAAAUAGUAAAUUUCUAGUUUUUUGUGUUAAAAAAAAACGUUUUUGUCUAAUGUUUUCUAAAUUUUGGUUUAAUAUAAAUUUAAAAACGGUUUGAAUGAAAAAGAAAGAAGAAGUUUAACAAUUGUGAAAGUUGUAAGAGAAAUAGUGAAAACUGGCUUAUAUUUAUACUAAAUUUUAGUUUGUUAUAACACAUAUCAUAUAUGGACUCUUAUACCGGCCCAUUAGGCCCAUCAGGGCAUUGUACUUAACCUAGAUUCCCUAUGUACUCUAUAUAUACAUUCCAGUGAUUAAUAAAGUUUCUAAGUUUUUACAACACGUUAUCAGCACGAUAAGACUCUCUGAGCGAAAAACCCUAAUAAAUCCGGCCACCACCAAAACCCUAAAAGCAAGUCGAAACUUAAAAGACGCAUAUCUUCCAAACCGUGAGGAACCAGAAGACGAUCUACAUAUCAAAUCGAAGCCCUCGACGAGACGAAUCUACUGGUGAAAACCGUUCGUCGAUCCAACGUCGGACGCGCCCUCACGCACACUUACAGUACACGACGAUCAACAGAAAAAAAAAAAAAAAAAAACCAGAUCCGAGUUUUUCCUUCUUCAACCAGCAGCUUCUCCAGUUUUGGUGAUCAAUCCUUGGAAUUUGUAGCGGCUAACUGAGGUCUAUUAGCUCCCAGUUUCAUUAGCCUGUCAUAAAUCCAAAGGUGGAAAAGGUAUCUUCUAAAACUGAAAGCCAUAGAACCUGUUGUUUAAACACUUCAAAACCCUAUAAAAAAAAAAAAAAAAAAAUCGAUCUCUAAUUGAUUGAAAGUGUUUGAUACUCUGAUGAUUGAUUGAUAACUUGUUGAUUGAUUGUUUAAAUUACAAGUUUAUGCAUGUUCAAAGAUUUUAAACUCGUUUUAUAAAACCCUAAUCUACAAAAACCUAACAACCGUUUUUGGCCAUGUUUAUGGCAUAAACCUAUUCGAUUUUCUUCAUGUUUAAUAAGCUUGUUGCAGCUUAUUUGAUUGUUGAUUCUCUUGCUUGAAACACUUGAUUGAAUAAACUAAGAAAAUCAACCCUAAAUCCUAAGCUUGAUUCACGAUCUUGUAAUCUUCAAAAUCGUAAGUCAUAAUGCUUAAACCCUAGUCCUUUUCACGUGAUUUCUUUGUUGUCCUUGUGAAAUUAUUAAAACCAUCGACCACAGAUCCUAUAGAUCUCGAAAUCACAUCCAAAAUAUGUUUUCCAAACCGUUAAAACCCUAGAUAAAACCCUAAUCAUAUUCGGCUCCCCUAGGGUUCCUCCUAAACCGCCUAAAACCGGCUAAACCUGGUUCUUAUUAACCGAAAUUAUAUUCGGCUUUAACCGAUUAAAUCACAGCUAUUAAACCGACAUCAUGUUCGGGGUAACUAAAACCAUACCCUUUAAAAUUUACUAUUUCCGAGAAAGUUCCCUCUAAUAGAAAGUUUCCUCAUAUAAAAACUUUCCUCAUAUAGAAAUUUUCCCGACAUAGAAACUUUCCUCAUUUAGAAAAUUACCCAAAUUAGAAACUUUCCAAAUUUAGAAACUUUCCUAAAAUAGAAAUAUUCUCAAAAUAGAAAGUUUCAUCAUCAGCAUUCAAAAUUUUCUUAAAACAAUCUCUAACAAAAUCAAUCUCAUGUUUCAGAUGUCAAACAUUCAGAAAUGUGAAUUCGAGGCCCUUCACGUCUCCGGGGAUAACUACCUCGAGUGGGCCCUAGACAUGCGCUUGUUCCUUGCAUCGAAAGAACUCGAUGCAUGUAUUACCGACGGUAACACCGCAUCCCGUAAGGGACAGUCUCAGGCGAUAUGUCACAUACGCCAUCAUCUGGCCCCGAGCCUUAAGCAGCAAUAUCUCACUCUUGAGAAUCCACUUGAAUUGUGGCAAGCGCUGAAAAAGCGAUAUGACCAUCAGAAAAUGGUCCAGUUGCCUCAGGCAGAUUUCGACUGGAAGAACCUUCGGUUCCAGGACUACAAAUCCGUAGAUGAUUACAACAACGAACUCUUUCGUAUUGUUGCCAUCCGGAAACUCUGUGGCGAGAAUGUGACAGAUAAUGAUCUCCUCGAGAAAACAUUAUCCACAUUCAGCACAGAGAAUGUUGUGCUCCAACAACAAUACCGUGCAAUGAAACACACAUUGUACGAAGACUUGUUGUCCUGUCUUCUCCUCGCUGAGAAGAAUAACCAGCUGCUUAUGAGGAACAGCGCUAUGAGGCCCCCGGGAUCGGCUCCUGUCCCAGCUUCUCGUCAAGAGUCCUACCAUGUUCAACCCGAUAGAUCCUCAGAUCACCGCCGUGGACGUGGUAAUGGACGUGGUAAUGGCCGAGGACAUGGACGUGGAAGACGUGGACGCGGACAUGGUCGUGGCAACCGACCUAACCUCAGUUAUGGUCCUGGUCGUGGUCGAGGCAUCACCAAGCCGACCCGCCACACCAACCCUGAUCACUCUGCUUGUACCAGAUGUGGGAUGUUCAACCACCCAACAAAGCAAUGUCGCACCCCCAAGAUCCACUGCGAUCUAUACCAGAAGUACGGAAAAGCUCCUGCUGAAGCCAACAUGACUCAGCCAGUCGAUGCUGCUAACCUGGAAGGUGACGACCUCCUUGAUGAUGAGAACACCACAAACGAGCAGACCGACCCCAUGGACUAUGAAACAGCUGAUCUCCUCGAUUAAUUCAAUCAUCUGAAACUCUGAUACAAUUUGAUUUUGUUCUUUAUUUUUUUUUUUUUUUUUCAUUUUGGGAUUUGUUUCAUUUUUUUUUCCAUUUGCCUUUAUUCUCAGACACUGCUUUACUUUAUGAUUUAUCACAUUUUCUGAAUUCCUCAAUACUGAAUUCUAUCUUCUAUUCAUAAUAAAGCACACCAGCAAAUGGAAACCAUAGUCGUAGAUAGUGGAUCCAGCCACACUAUCUUAAGAAACAAAAGUUACUUCAUAAACCUAACCUAUCAAACCGCAAAUAUUAGCACCAUCGCGGGUCCCUCAAACCUUAUCGAAGGAUAUGGCCAUGCCUAUGUGUUGCUAUCAAAUGGCACACAACUUGAAAUACCAGAUGCUCUAUAUUCUCCUAGUUCGAAGAGAAAUCUUCUGAGCUUCAAGGAUAUAAGACAGAAUGGUUUCCACAUAGAAACCCAAGGUCAAGGGAACAAAGAAUCCCUCCUAGUCACUAAAACCGUAGACGGCCAUAAACAAAUCCUCGAAACCAUACCCGCGCUCUCUACUGGACUUUACCAUGCUAAAGUCAGUAUGAUUGAAGCUAAUACCACUCUCAAAGCCCGGUUUACUGAUUAUACUAUUUGGCCGACCGGCUCGGUCAUCCCGGUGCAAAUAUGAUGCGUAAACUAAUUCAAAACUCUCAAGGGCAUACCCUCAAAGAAAACCGAGCUUAUCCUCAACACCUCAUGUGCACAGCUUGUUCUCAAGGCAAAUUGAUCACUCGGCCUUCACCAGUUAAAAUCUCUAAACAAACACUUCAUUUCCUAGAAAGAAUCCACGGCGAUAUCUGUGGACCUAUACAUCCAUCUUCCGGACCAUUCCGGUACUUCAUGGUCCUUAUAGACGCAUCGACCCGUUGGUCAUAUGUUUGUCUCUUGUCCUCUCGGAACCAAGCCUUCGCUAGGUUCUUGGCCCAAAUCAUCAAAUUGCGGGCCCAUUUCCCUGACUUCCCACUAAAGACUAUCCGCCUUGACAAUGCUGGUGAAUUUACCUCACAAGCGUUUAAUGACUACUGUAUGGCCAUGGGGGUAACCGUGGAACAUCCUGUAGCACAUGUCCAUACUCAAAAUGGAUUGGCUGAAUCAUUCAUUAAACGCAUUCAAUGGAUAGCCCGACCAUUACUCAUGAGAUCAAAGCUCCCGGCCUCAGCAUGGGGACAUGCAGUAUUACAUGCUGCUGAACUCAUACGCAUCCGGCCAUCUAGUGAACACAAAUAUUCCCCAUCCCAACUACUCUCGGGUCAUGAGCCAGACAUCUCCCAUCUCAAAACAUUUGGGUGUUCAGUAUAUGUACCCAUUGCUCCACCACAUCGAACCAAAAUGGGACCUCAAAGAAGGAUGGGAAUAUAUGUUGGUUUUGACUCUCCCACCAUCAUAAGAUAUCUCGAGCCAACCACUGGAGAUCUCUUCAAGGCCAGAUAUGCGGAUUUCCAAUUCGAUGAAUCGGUAUAUCCCUCUUUAGGUGGUGAGACAAACAAGCUGGUCAAAGAUCUUUCAUGGAAUCAAACAUCAUUAAAUUGGCAAGAUCCUCGGACUCUAGAAUGUGAUUCAGAGAUCCAAAAGAUUAUUCAUUAUCAAAAGCUAGCUAAUCAAUUGCCAGAUUCCUUUGCUGACCCGACCAAAGUAACCAAAUCGUACAUCCCAGCUUGUAAUGCACCAGUACGAAUAGCUGUCCCAACGGGACAGACCCAAGUUGCUACAGAGUCUGCACCACGUCUCAAACGGGGCAGACCUCUCGGUUCCAAAGAUAAGAAUCCCCGGAAAUCAAAGAAAGGUGCAAUAACCGAAACCGGGAUUCCUGCAAUAUCAGACAUAGCCGCGGCUGAGACUCAAUCUAAUGAACCCUCAAUGGAAGUUCGGGACGCCGAAUCUCCAGGUUCAGAAGAUAACAAUGAGAUCUCCAUCAAUUACAAUAUGUCCGGAAUUCAAUGGAAUCGAAAAGAAGUCGACUUAAAUGCACUCUUUGCAUACAAAGUAGCACUUGAUGUUGCGCUCACGCAAGAGGAUCUAGAACCCACGUCAAUAACACAGUGUACACAUCGAACAGAUUGGCUAAAAUGGAAAGAAGCCAUAAACGUGGAGUUAAAGAGUCUCAAACUCAGAAACGUGUUCGGUCCGAUCAUCCGGACCCCAUCACACAUCAAGCCAGUGGGCCACAAAUGGGUCUUUGUGCGAAAAAGGAACGAACUCGGUGAAGUCGUUCGAUACAAAGCACGGCUUGUAGCACAAGGAUUCUCACAGAGACCCGGAAUCGAUUAUGAGGAGACUUAUUCUCCAGUGGUGGAUGCAACAACAUUCCGAUUCCUCAUAAGUCUGGCCAUAAGAGAAAAUCUUGAUCUGCGGUUAAUGGAUGUUGUAACCGCAUAUCUCUAUGGGCCCCUGGACAACGAAAUAUAUAUGAGACUCCCAGAUGGCAUUGAACUAAAAGACAAAAAUGCAUCUCGAGAUCAAUACUGCAUCAGGCUGAACAAAUCCUUGUAUGGACUGAAACAAAGUGGGCGUAUGUGGUACAACCGCCUCAGCGAUUACCUCAUCAAAGAAGGCUACAAAAAUGACCCCAUCAGUCCAUGCAUCUUCAUCAAGAAGUACUCAAACAAAGGAUUUGUAAUCAUAGCAGUAUACGUGGAUGAUCUAAACAUCCUCGGAACAUCUGGUGAGAUCUCCCAAACAGUCGACUGCUUAAAAGCAGAAUUCGAAAUGAAAGACCUAGGCAAAACAAAGUACUGUUUGGGAUUACAACUUGAGUACAUCAAAGGAGGAAUCCUUGUGCAUCAAUCGGCUUAUAUCGAAAAGGUACUCAAGCGAUUUAAUAUGGACCAAGCUCACCCAUUGACCAGCCCAAUGGUAGUUAGAAGCUUAAGUGAUGACCCUCUUGGUCCCAAAAAGGAUGAUGAAGAAAUCCUUGGUCCUGAAAAGCCAUACCUCAGUGCUGUAGGAACGUUAAUGUACCUGGCUAGUCACACUAGACCAGACAUAUGUUUCGCCGUGAACCUCCUCGCUCGAUAUAGUUCAUCCCCAACUCAGAGGCACUGGAACGGUAUAAAACAUCUCCUAAGAUACCUUCGAGGUACUCAAGACUUAGGACUCUUCUAUACUAACAAAAAUAAAGAUGGGUUAGUCGGCUUCGCCGAUGCAGGAUAUCUAUCAGAUCCGCACACUGCCAAGUCUCAAACUGGCUACGUUUUUACGCAUGAGGCUAGUAGGGAAUGCGUCUGGCUGCGCUCCAUGACUCAGCACAUCCGCAGAGAUUGUGGUAUGGACGAAGACACACAGCCCACGGUGAUGUAUGAAGACAACGCGGCAUGCAUAGCUCAGCUCAAGGAAGGAUAUAUCAAAGGAGAUCGGACGAAGCACAUUCUACCGAAGUUCUUCUCAACCUCAGACUGGCAGAAUGACGGCACUCUCAGCGUUCAGCAGGUCCGAUCCAGUGAGAAUUCAGCUGACCUCUUCACCAAAUCAUUGCCUACUUCAACACACCGGAAGCUCGUCAAACAGAUAGGAAUGUAUAGACUUAGAGAUCUGCAGUGAUGCUACAAUCAGGGGGAGUAAUGCGUGUUGUACUCUUUUUCCUUCACCAUGGUUUUGUCCCACUGGGUUUUUCCUGGUAAGGUUUUAAUGAGGCAACAUUCCCCAGCGCAUUAUCGAGAUCCCGAUUGAGUAGCUGGCCCGGUUCACUCGUCCAAGGGGGAGUGUUAUAACACAUAUCAUAUAUGGACUCUUAUACCGGCCCAUUAGGCCCAUCAGGGCAUUGUACUUAACCUAGAUUCCCUAUGUACUCUAUAUAUACAUUCCAGUGAUUAAUAAAGUUUCUAAGUUUUCACAACAUAGUUAACAUUUUAGUUAGAUUUUUUGAUUAUUUCGAAAAUAUUAGAAAUGGUAAAUUUCUUUUUUUUUUUUAAUUUUAGAAAACCAUUUUUGAAGAUAUUAAAAAUGGUAAAAUUUCGUUUUUUUUAUUUUUUUAAAAUAAAAACGUUUUUAAUUUUUUUUUGCCUAAACUUCGUUUUAAUCUUAUUUUAAAAAAUGGUUUGAUUGAGUUUGGAAUUAAACAUUUAACCAUAAUAAUUUAGACCAGUUUGUUUUAAAUUUUUUGACACGUCAUCAGAUGAGAACCAAUUAAAAAUUGACACGUAAUUGGAAAAUAGAGUUAAACGGUCUUUUUGCGGCCAAAACUCAUUUUGGAGCUGAUACGUAAGCGAAAAGCGUGAAACUUGCUGUGACUGUGAUUACGCUGUGAUCGCAACACGUAAGCAAAUCACUACACAAAUAAGUAUAUAGAUACCAAUAAUUAGAAGCUAGAUAGCCACAUCAGUAAGUAUAAACCACCACCAAUAUAUUUACCUAAUUAAGAAAGAGAAACAAAAAAACAAAAAAACAAAAAAAAAUUGACCACCUAAUAAUAGUAAACAUUGAAAGUUUGCUAAAACCAUUUUACUAUAUAAAUCAUCUUAGAUCAAUAAAAAUUUCUUACCAAAUCAACUCGCUUUAAACCAGGAAAAAAAAUAGAAUACAGUUUUUAAAGUUUGCAUCAUAAUCAGAAUACAUAAUGGUUGCUCAAGUGUCGAAGAAUUUUUGCAGUGUGUUAGUGAUUGUAAUUUUAUUUACAAUUGCACAAGUCUCUCAUUCCAACACGAUAGAUGUCUGCAUAAAAGACUGUGUUGCAAAUCUAUGCAUGAAAGCAUCAAAAAAAGCGACUCAAGCAAUGUGUGACAAUCCUUGCAAAAUAAUUUGUGAUCCAAUAAAUGGUGGGCAAUACAUCGUCCCUGGUAAAGGUUAUCAAGAUCCUGUAAAAAGGUUCUGCAAAACAUUCAGCUGGAUAUGUGAGUAACAGUAAUUGAGAAACCAUACAAAAAUUUGUAAUGCAUUUUUUUGUAUUAUUCGAUCAAUUAAUAUCUCAUGUAUGUUUUUAUUUUUUUGCAAUAAAUAAAUAUUUAAAUAAAUCACUGUAGAAUCAUUUCGUAAGUAUUAGUUGAAAAUUCAAAAAUCUUAAAAGAUAUCCAUGUCAACAAGAUAACACCUUAAAAACUUUAGAAUCUACUCAAUCCAAAAUAUAGAACAUAAGACGAAUUUUGACUUUUGUAUCUCGUCUUUCUAAAAUUUCAAACAAUAUUUUUUCUUCUUCUUUGGUUUACUACGUAUGACUCAUCGGAAAAUAUGUUUCUCGUUCAGAAUUACUUUGUUCAUUAUUCAGAAACAUAUGUGAUUAGUGAUCAUAUAAUACUAGAUGAUUCCACGAUAGAAAAAUAGUUAGGUGAAAGAAAAGCUCGAUUUAGGUUUAUGAUAAACUGUAUCAUCAUAGAUAUAUGCAUCUAGGAAUAAUAAAAUGAGCAAACUUCACCUGUUAAGGCUCAACUCGCCCAUCUAACAAGAAUCCUGUUUAGAUCUGUUUAUUUUCAAGCCUGUUUAUAACUGUUAACAUUUAAGUCGCUGACAUUGUUCUCCAUUAUUUUCUUUUUUAAAUUAUCAGAAGGUUUUGGGCCAAAACCUGUAAUUUUUCCAGCAUCUAUUAUAUAAAGACUCAGUUGAGUCUCACAAACUUGACACAUCAGCACUCCUUUGAAUGACACAUCAACUCAUUUAUUUGUUAUUUAAAAACUUUAGUGAAACUCUAAUUAAUUUAAGCUAAUUACUUUUAUGUUCAUUUUUCUGUGCACUGAUUUAUUUACCAUCAUGGGCCUCAUGGCUUUUUGACUCCCAUUUUUGAUGCUUCCUAUUCUUAUUUGUUACUCAUGUUUCAACGCAUAAAAAAUAAUCAGCAAAUAUAGAGGAGAAGACAUGGAAAGAAGUAAAUAUUACCUAAGAUUUUCUAAUAAAUCUCUAAUCUACAGCUUCCACGUUGUAACUUAUACAAAUUUCUAUAUAGAAGCUUACUAAAGUGAAUGUUGUUCACAAAUCCACGGUCUAAGAUUUAUUUCUUGGUCAUGGGCAGAGACAUCUACAUUUAAUACCAUCGUUUGUGUUCAUUUAAAGGAAAAGAAGAAUUUUGCUUUUAAAAAGAAGAUUUUGUAUGAUGGUUUCGAGAAUUCUGUGAAGAGUAAAUAGCAAGACAAAACUAUAAUAAUAAUUUUUAAAAUAAUAAUAAUUCGACGACGAAGCUAUAAUAAUAAUUUCUAAAAACUUUGUUUUAAGUUAAGCUGGUGUAAGUUAUCUAUUCUAUUUAUUUUUGUUUUAGAGAAAAUUUUAAGGGAGAAAAAUAAUACUCUGAAAGACCUAUUACAUCUAUUAGUAAAUUUUUUAAUAUCUAUGUUUUUACAAGAAAUGAUAAAAAUCUCGUCUCAAUGAAUUAUAAUUAAAGAAAUCUUUGUGGAGAAAAGAUAAAUAUAAUUUAUAUCAUUUUAUGUGCAUGAAAUGUAGCUUGUUUUAUCUCCAUCAGAUCUUGGAGUUGGAGUAUUGGUUCUCCCAAGUACUGCAAUAAAAAGCCACUGGAGCGGCAAGAGCCAAAUCCGAUGGUGAAAAUGGAGAAAGACGUAUAUGGUAAGCUUUUACGAUAGCUGGUAAUGCUUAUCUAAAGUUCCAAACUCUACCUGUGAUGCAAAAGAUAAUAUGUAGUAUGAAAUAUCACAGAUUUUCAUGCUAUAUUCAUUUCCUAACUUUUCUAAUUUUAGUGGAGAUUGUGACGGUUUUGCCAAUGAGAAUAUGAAAAUUUUAUGGAAUAAAGUUAUCCAUUUAUUUUGAGAAUAUACCUCUUAGGUUCCUAAUCAUAAUAUUUAGUAUUUGCUGGAUUCUCAUAUCUUUGUUUAUGAUGUUCAAGAUAAUUUUUCACGUUUAAUUGAAGACAACGUUUCUUAGUAGAGAAAUUUUCUGACAAGAUUUCAUAAAACCAAAGAAAAAGUCGAGAGAAAACUAAUUAAAAUAAAAUCACUUUAACAAAACAAGUUAACAACUAAUCUCUCUAAACAUAUAUAUGGCCAGUCCAAAAAAACCAAAAAUCUAAAUUUUUUUUUAACAUUACCAAAAAUCUAAAUUGAAUUUCAGUUUUUUUUGGUUUUUGAUCGACAGUCUAGAUACCUAAUAUCGAGUUUAUGUAAAUAAUAAUUUGUAAGUGGACACAAGCGCUUCUUGCUAGAAUGUUUGCCUUCGAAUUCUUCACGCGUGAAAUGUGUGAUAUAGUGAAGGAAUUGUAAACUGAAAUUUAAGGAUAAAACUAAACUUCAGUUUUAAACAUUAUAAAAAUAUUAAAAAGAAAACCCACGCAUAUGCGUGGGUACUCAUCUAGUAUAAUAUUAGUUUCGCCCUAAGCAUUACUCGAUCCUGUAACCUCUAAGGUUUGGCUAAGACCCCUUUACCAGUCGAGCUAACAACACUUGGUUUACUUUAAUGUUAGAGCAUUUUUUAUUAUAUUUGAUUUAAAAUAAUGUGUGUAGAUUUUUAUAUAAAGUAUUUUCUUGUCCGAAAACUCAUUAAUCAUAAAAGAUGAAGCCAAAGUAGGGCAUUUACAAGGGGAACCGAUUAAACAUUCUAGCAUCCCAAUACAAAUUGUAGUCCAAUGAAUGGAUAAAUUUGAUAAUGUUCAGCUUCUCAUUUUUAAACACGAUAAAAGAGCUGGAGCCAAAUACAUUGCCCGAGAAGAGGACAGCAACUAAAAUCGUUGAGCGUUAUGUCACCAAGAAACCAAUCAUCGCGAAGCUUCGCGGAGCACUACAGUCAAAAGUCAGAAAAAGCUUUCACGAUUUUCUCUCUCAUAGGUCGCAAUUUGCCCUAAACAGUGAGUGCUAUCUCUCUUCUUUGCCGGCGGCUCGCCCGUCGCCGGCUUCCUCUUCCGGGACCACUCACAAGCCCAAAACCCCCUCCACUCAAAAAAUCAAUUGAUAUCCCCUCUUCAGUCCAGAUCUCGUCUCCGCCAUCACCUCCUUCUGAUAUCAGAUCUCAAGACUCGACUCCCGUUUCUGCCUCGGGCUCUCCUAGCCUGCCGGUACUUCCUGUGGAUCUGAUUGGAGAGGCUGCUGCUUCUCUCGAUUUCUCCUCCUCCCAGAUUCCCCCAAAUCUCAAAAAUUCUUCUGUGAAAGCUGAGAAACCAGCCACUCCAGAUGUGGAUCGUAGCUCAAAGGAUGAUGCCCCAGCAAAGAGUCCGCGAGCUCAAAACACUACCACCAUGAAAUCCGCCUCGACGGCUGCUCCGGCGGAAAAAGAACAAAAUCAAUCUCCUGCAAAUGAUUCUUGGUCAGGGCUCUUCAGGGGCUCAAAGCAAUUGCAGAAGAAAGGCGAUGAGUUCAAGCUUCCUUUAGGCGAAUCCUGUAUCAAAAUCCCAAACUCCAUCAUUGAGAAAAACAAUAAAUCCUGGGUUUCAUUCAUCCUUGGUCGAUUCUAUUCUGACCCUCCAUUGCAAGGCAUUAUUCACAACAUUGUCAACGGCAUUUGGAGCAAGCAGUACCGAGAUAUAUCAGUUUCCAGGUUGGAAGGAUUUGCUUUCUUGUUCAGGAUACCUAAUGCCUCAACCAGGCAACGGGUCCUAAACCAGAAGCUGUGGCAGAUAGAGGGACAGACAAUGUUCGUCGCUAACUGGAACCAGGAGUUAUUCCAGCCAAACCGGAGCUGACUCAAGCCCCAAUCUUGCUAGAGCUACGAAAUGUUCCUUUCCAAGCUUUCAAUGAGGAAGGAUUGGAACACAAAGUUUGGUGGGUCAUCCAAAGUGUUUGCAUCCGGCAACAGCAAACAAAUCAAAUCUGGGGUUGCAAGAGUGUUUACAAUGAUAGAUCCCCGAAAGCCUUUGCCUGAGGCGGUAAACAUCCAAUUCGACUCUGAAAACAUUAGGAGAGUGCUGGUAUCAAGCCCAUGGAUGCCUUCGGUGUGCCAACACUGCAAAGAAGUUGGGCAUAGUCUCAAGCACUAUAAAUUUGCUCCUAUAAAGUGCCUUAAAUGCAAAGCAACUGCUCACGACAAUGAGAGUUGCCCCAAGCUUAAACCCCCAGGUUCCAAGGAUCCUAAAUCAAGGCGGGGCAGAGCUAAGAGCCAUGACGUGAAUAUGGAGAAUAAGAAUAUGAGCGUUGCCAAAUAUUCUAUGGAGGUGAUGAGAUUCAGUGAAUCUUCUUUGGGAAUGUCUAAGUUGGAAGACAAUGAAGAAUCUAGUGAAGUUGUGCAUAAUAAAAGCAAGGUUUCGGCUGACACUGAUGCUGUUGAGAGUGCUCUUUCUGAUGUUGAACUAGAUUCAUAUGAUAUCGAUUCAGGCGACUCUCAGAGCCCGGACGAACCACAGAUGUCUCAAGGCUUUCAACAGGUUGUCUCUAAAAAGAAGAAGAAGAGUUCUAGGGGCAAGGGCCCCAACCUCGCAUAAAUUUUAUGCGUAAAGAAAUUUUUUGUUGGAACGUCCGGGGUUUUAAUAUUUCCAACCACUGUGGCGGGUUUAAAAAAUGGUGUAGGAUUAAUAAUCCCAUCUUUGGCGGCAUAAUAGAUACGCAUGUAAGGCAACCGAAGUGUAAGCGAUUUAUAGAUCAGAUCCUUCCUGGUUGGUCUCUCGAUGAGAACUAUGAUUUCUGAGUUUUGGUUAAAAUUUGGGUUAUAUGUGAUAUGUUCAUAAAUUGCAUCAUUUAGGUUGCAUUUUUAGUCCAAAUCAUGUUUUGUCUCAUGCAUUUUAGGUCUUUAGGCAUUGUUUUAGGACUUAGGAGCUGCAAUAGGUCCAAAGGAGUCUUUGCAUGUUUGGAGUCUUAAAUAGGUACUUUGGAGUCUGUUUGGAGCAGAAGAGUUGAGACCACCAGGUGUUUAAAUGGAGUUUGGAGGUUCAAAAAUGGUGAAAAUGGCUUCCCGAUUGUUAUCGGCAUCAAACUGUACCGGAGAAAAGGUUUUAUUGGCUAAAAAGCUUACCGGGAAGGUUUUCCGUCGAUCAAAAUGCUUAUCGCGGGUCAAGAGGUUUAUUGGGUGAAAAUCAAGUCUUGGUCGAUGCUGGUUCGAUGCCAGUGCGGUCACGGAAAAGGAAGCCUAUCGGGCAAAAAUGCUGAUCAGAACAUGGACUGGUUUGGUUCUAGUACGUACUGCAGGCUACAGGAUUAUCGGCUAAAAAUCUCAAACAGGUACAGCAACCUCGGCCAAACCUCUUACCACGGUACAUGAGCCCUCGACUAAAAAUCGUCUGUGCCGAUACGCGCCAAAGAUUGCCUAUCCGAAGAGACUUGCCGACCGAUUCAGCUGCCGGGGUCUGCAAAAAUGUUGGAGCGGAUUGAAAUGUGGUUCCAGAACAGUUGGAAUUGGUGAAUCAGAUCAGUUAGCUGUGAGUUAUGGCCACCGGAAGACACGCUUGUCUCGCACACAUUCCAGACCGAAUCCGAUGUACUUCAAAGAUCGCCAAGGACGAUGACCUUCCAGACCAAUUAGGUUUUCAAGGCCUUCAUCAAGAUUUAAGAUAUUUGAGUCGUCUUUCUAGAAAAUUUGAGAUCGCCCAAUUUGGAGCCCUGAGCUGGGAGUUAACGCAACCAAAGGAACACAGGUUCAUAAACCUUCUUUGAGUCGUUCUGAUACACUGUAGAAAUCAGCGAUCCGUGAGACCUUCCACUCCCCGGAUGUCAUUGCGUUAUUCACCAAAGUUUGAUAUGUUUGAGUGCUCUUUCCGCUGAAGUUGGAAACAAGCCAUUUGAAUCCAUAUCCUGGAAGUUACGCUGCCCUGAAUGCGAAGUGGUCCGAGAAGACUUGGAUUGUGCGAGACGGUUCUAUGACUUAGUCAACUCGCAGCAUUCAGAGAUUGAAUUCUGGAAAUGAGCUGCCAGUGGAGAUGUGCGGGUAAGGCAACACUGAGCAAGACCAAAGAUCCCUGAGCUGAAAUAUGCUAAGUCCACAAGCUGUGCGACUUGGGUAUGCGGGUUGGCCGAGCAAUGAACUGAACCGCACAUAUGUUCGCGCUUUAGACCAAGUUGGGCCUGCGACUUGGAAGUGAGGGAAACUAUCUCGCACACAUGCUUCAAGCCCUGUGCUACAUGAGUGUGCAAGUUAGAUUGAAAAAGAACCUGAACCGCACAUAUGUUCGCUGUUAAGACCGAGAAGGGAAUGCGCUUGGGUCUACAAGGUUUUAACUCGCAAGAUCUUGCUUCUAGACUUGUGCGAGUUGGGUGUGCGACUUGGAGCCAAGCAAGACCAACUCGCACACAUAUCUUCUCCAAAAUGCGUCUUGGUUGUGCGAGUUGAAGAGCAGAAAACCUGAGCAGCACAUAUGUUCGCAGAACAGACCGAGAUAAGCAUUCGGUUGGGGCUGAAGAGAUUUAGGCACACAAAACAGAUUGCAAGGCUGUGCGACUUAGGCUUGCGGGAUGGGAAGCACCUGACCAACUUGCACACUUAACACAUUGCCCAUUUGAAGCCGGGUCAGUACCCAGUUUUUCCUGGACUGACCCGGUUCGAACUACUAAAUAUGAAUAUGUUUUAGGGUUUUCCCAAGACUUAAGCUUUAUUAUCUCUUAUUUCUUUGCCUCUUUUGUGAAAGACUCUCCUUUGUAAGAGAUAUUUACUUUUGUGAGUCUUAAUCAAGAGAAAUCAAGGAUCUUUUGUGUUUAAAGCUGCAAUCCAUAAUCAUCUAUCAUCUCCAUCUUCAUUUCCCAUCAUUAAUCAUGCCAAUCUACUCUACUUGCAAAGGUUUAAGAGAGAUUAGUAUGAUUAGUGAGUAGUUUGCUUAAUGAGGUUCUAGAUAUGUAGGUUAGGGUGCUAAAGUGUUAGAUUAGAAGUGCUUAAGGCUAGAUCCAUGUUUUCAUUUCUCUAAAUAGCUGAUCUCUAUGCUGGAUCCUUGCACAUCACUUGUGAUCUAGAAUCUGAAUUUUUCAUGUACCAAAAGUGUUUGUUGAAAUUCCUGAAAGGGCUAAAUUAGAGGUUUAUGCAUUAAUACCAUGAUGAUGUUUGUUAUUUGCAUAAAUGAUCACUUGGGAUUGAUUCUUAAUGCUGUCCUAUUGUUUGAUCUCCAAUGAUGAUUGGGUAUGUGAAAUGGCUUGAUUUGUGUCUUGAUGCUUGAGAAAGAUUAAGGCUUGAUUAGAAUCCCAAAUCACUUGAAUCAUGUUUCAUUAUUGUCAUUAGCAUUUCUAGUUUAGCACCAAAGCACCCUAGCCAUCAAUCAUGUCUAGAAUCUCAUGCUUCCAUCAUUUCAUGUUCAUUCACUUGUCAUUUGCUAUAGCUUGCUUCUUGUUUUGAUCACUUGAUAGUUUAUUAAUCUUGUUUACUAUUUAGUUAAUCACUUGUUUGAAUCAAAACUCAUCAUAUUGCUUGGAUUAAGAAACUAUCAUCAUGAACUAGUGUCUACCCACAUGUUUGGAUUGAUAACCCCUUUGUAUUACAAAGACAAGGGAUUGAUAACCCCAACUAAAGGCUUAAAAACCUUAGUUAUCAAUAUGGCACCCAAGUGUUAGAGUGGUAAUCAUCCAGAAAUCUUUGCAGAUGAUUACGUUUGAAGUUCUUCUCCCUAAUGCUCAACAGUGGAUUGUGGUAUCCAUCGUGUAUGCUUCAAACAAUGUUGAUGAAAUGCGACAAUUAUGGGAUGAAAUAAUAUCUCUCUCCUCAGGUCAGCUUAUAGGAGACAUAGCAUGGAUGACCCUUGGUGAUUUCAACCAAACUCUCCACCCUACAGAGCACUCUGCAGCAAUGUCUCAGAACGUUGACUUUAAUAUGAGGGAAUUUUGGGAUUGUCUGCGAGUGGCAGAGUUGCAAGAUCUCAACUUCUGUGGCAAUACAUAUGAUCUGCUCAAAGUUUAAUCCCUAAGCUACUCUGCAAGAGCACAUAUGUGCAGUUGUAGUAUUGCAGGGGUCGAACUACAGAGACAAGAAAUUCACUCAAUAAACCUAUUUGAAAUCGAAUUACGCUAAGCAGAAUAAUGCAAAUUAAAAUAACAAAGCAGUAGAAGCGUUUGUUAAACUCGAGUGGAUGGAAAUUAGGCUUAGGGCGUUUCUCAGGAAAUCAAAGAAUGCAAAUCAAUAGUUAGUCUGGGUUCAGGUUUAAGCAUGGUUCUUGAACUCAAAUCACGAAAAUAUAAUUAACCAACUUCCGUUGUGAGAAUUAUCUAAGUCAAAAUCCUAGAAUUCCAAAUUCCUUUGAAAACCCUAAAGAUUUAAACCAGCUUUAAUGCUCAAGUUCGAUAUGUUCACAAAGUAUCUAAACCGUAUUCCUUUGCGAAUAGCUACUUUGCUCACCCUAGAUUCUUUCCAGUUAUUUAAUUACACUUCCGGGUCAAUUAAGCAACCUAAGAUCUAAGUUCUAGGUGUUCAGUCUAGAAUUAGCUUUAAGAACAACCUAUGGUGAAGAACGAAUAAGAUUAUGACACCUAACUUAAUCAAUCAAUCAGACAUCCAGAGAAAACAUUAAUGAGAACCCUAAACCUAAAAAGCUAACUACUCACACAUGGAUAUUGAAACAACACACAUGAUUGAAUAGAUUGCAAAAUAAGAUGAAUAGAAUAGAUAAAGGAGUUUGAAAUCUUCUCUCUAAACGAACAGAGUUCAGACUUGUCUAAGCAAAGAUGUCUUCUCUCGAAAAUCUAAGGUAUCCGUCUAAGGAGGCUAAAAAGACCCUAUAUAUAUCUUAAAAACACGUUUUGGGCUUCUUAGGGAAUAUUUGGAAACUUCUGGGCCCAACUCCUUCUUCAAAUAGGAGAUAAAAAUCGGGUUUUCCUUACUUCUUGACAAGCGUCGAGCGUCACUCUCCAUGGUGUCGAGCGACACCAAUGCACAUGAUUUGUCCUUCGCGAAUUUGAGCCUGAUUUAGCUCUGAUAACACCGGAUUUUGACCAUUUUUAUGGAUCACUUUAAUAUCUUUUACAGUUGUUUUUACUCCAUUUCCAAAGGUUUUCAAAGGAUUUCUAUGUUUUCGGAUUUUAAAAGACUUUUCAGGUAAUUUGGGAUAAAGAGGCACAAAUUGGAACAAAAAGACUCUUUUGGAUAAAUGCAGACCGUCAGAACUCUCAUAGAGAGACGAAUACCUUCUAACCGUCUGAUCACCCUCAAAAUUGGACAACUUAUAGAAGAAUUAACCAGCUUUAAAAUGCACUUAGUUUGGGAGACAUUCCAACGGUUGGAUCUCAAGAUAUUCCAUUAGCCCCAGAGCCACUCGAAGACGGCCAGCAAGUCAUGCGACCGCGGCCAACAGCCCAUUUCCCACGGUCACAAGCCUCCCGACCGCGGCCAACCACCUAUUCCCCGCGGUCACAUCACUCCCGACCGCGGCCGUCAAACUCCGAACUAAAGCCCAUAUUUCUGAAGCCCAAAGUCAUUCUCAGCCUCAAUUCCGGAACCCUAAAGACCAUGGAGUAUCAAAGACUAUAAAUACUUGUCAUUUAGGUUGUUUUUAGAGAGAACCCUUCAUACUUUACAGAAACUCUUUUUCCUUAAGCCGUUUUUAUGCGAUUUUUGUAGCAGAUUGUUCAAGUCCGAGUUCUUCAAUAAAAAAGCUUUCUUCAUCUCUUUUCUUUACUGUUUUUGAUUACUUUUAUUAAAACCAAUGAUGAUGUCGACCUCAGCCAUGUCUGAGUAGAUCCCGAGUUGGGCUUAGGGUUCCCGAAAGAGGCUCUCAUAAUCGAUUAAGACAUCUAGGUUUAUAGAUCUGGGAUUUCAACUUUGUUCUCUGUUUAUUCUUGUUCUUAUUGCAUGUAUGCUUGAUUGAUCACCUAGUAUCUGAUCUAGAUAGUUAGUGUUGCGAAAGUUUUCAUUAAGUAUCAGCCCUAGAAUGAAUUAGGCGAUUUUUCCGUAGGAGUGGAAACCUACCUGCGGCGAGAUCAUGAGUAUUGACGAGUCUUGUGCAGCUCUUGCGUUCUCUCCCUUCCAGGGCCAGAGUGGAAACCUACUGGUCAGGGUUGCGAGAAACAGUUGGUUAUGAUCACGACAGUGACGUAGUCAUACCGCCGUACUCUAGCUCUAGAACCCUAUAUAUCGAUAUCCGUCAAUCCCAAUCUAUCUACCCUAGUGUCAAAACCGAUUAUGAUCCCUUAGAGUUCCCAAAAGCUCAGCGUUUUUAGCCAUAGUUUACAAACCAAUCGAUUUUUACUUGUUUAUUUAGAUCUGCAUUUCAAUUGCCUUAGUUCGAUAUUUUACUUGCUUUCCAUUCGAUUUUUCUACUUGCUUUCUAGGAUAGAUUUAUUUGCUUUUUUAAAGUUUUAGUUUAAUUCGUGAUAAACAACCAACCUUUAAAACCAAUCUAGUCUGGACAUAAAGUUAGAAACCGUAUAAGAAUACCAGGCACACAAAUCUCUGUGGAUUCGAUCCCUAAAUACUACAACUGAUUAGCUGUGCACUUGCGGAUUUCAUUUGUUUUUGUUAAGGGUAAAACUUGUUCCCUUACGUAGUUGACACACAAUCAAGUUUUUGGCGGCGUUGCCAGGGAUUUGUUUCGCUGCCUUUUGCUAUUAUUCUUGUUUUAACUUCUGUUCUAGACACCUGAUCUCUAGUUCUUUCUUAAAGUUUUGCUGAAUUAUCUUUCCCUUCUUUUGUUUUUCUCUGAAUUGCAUGAAUACCAGGCGCAGACCUGUAGAAAACAUUCCAAUUCUAGACGAGAUAGACAGACACAAAAGAGAACUUCGAAGACUUAGACGAACGCAAGGAAUGGCCAACGACGACCAGCCUGGAGAUCCUAUUAACCGAGCUUUAAAUAUGGACCAAGACGGGUCCGAACAUGGAGAAAAUGAAGAGAAUGAUCACAGGGUGAUCAUGCUCGACAAGAUGGAGAGGAGGAUGAGGUUCCUCCAAGAAACCACCAGAACCGCGAGAGAGAAGAGCGUGAAGACCUUGAUGCACCCAUCAAUGCAGCCGAUGGUGACCCCCAAGGAAUGCAGCCGAAUGGGCGCGUUAACCGCCCGGUACAGCCAGCAAAUCAACACCGAAGACAAGCCAGGAACCAUCGCAUAGCUGAUUUCGAUGCACCUACUCAAAAUUUUCAGAACCGAUCUGCAAUCCAAGUUCCAUUUCCGAACCGGAAUGAGUUUGAAGUCAAGCCUCAAAUCAUCUCAUUGGUGAAGCAAAACCAAUUCCAUGGAGUUCCUUCUGAACACCCAAUGGACCAUAUCGAGCUCUUUGAAGAGAUCUGCAGCAUGAUGAGAACAAACCAAGUUCCAGCAGACUAUUUAAAGUGUAAGUUGUUCCCUUUUUCAUUAGCAGACAAAGCUCACCGUUGGUUGAAAUCUUUGCCUGCAGGAUCGAUUACUAAUUGGGAAGAAUAUAAAACUGCUUUCCUGAAUCAGUUCUAUACUAAUUCAAGGUCGAAUUGUUGAGAACAAAGAUCUCAAGCUUUCAACAAGGCCCAACUGAAUCUUUCUACGAAGCCUGGGAACAUUUUAAGGAGUCUGAACGUGAUUGCCCUCACCAUGGAUUUCCUGGAUCAAGCCUGCUGAGCACAUUUUACCGAGGUUUGCAACCAAAAUACAAACUUUCACUUGAUACAGCUAGCAAUGGAGAUUUUGGACAAAAGCGAGGAAGAGCCCUCAUCGAAAAUUUGGCUCAAGCCAAUAGCAAUGAUUGUCCUGAAUACGAUCGAUCGACGAAGCAAACCAGAACAGACAACAAGGAGAUAACCGAGUUGAAGAACAUGAUGAGCCAGCUUCUGAAGAGCAACAAUCGCCUAAUCCAUGCUUGUGAGACCAACAAUGGCGCAGAAGAUGAAGGACCUAGUGAUGUUGAUCACAUUAAUCAAGCCUUUCAAGAAGAAGAUGUGAACUAUGUAGGAGCGCUAGUACCAUAUCAAAAUCGCUUCAACAAUGGCUUCAACAACAACUUCCGGAAUGCAAAUUACAACAAUCUCUCUUACCACAAUCCAAAUGUGGAGAAUCCUCAAGAUCAGUACUACCCACCUCAGCAAAAAUCCUUCCAAAACAAGUUCCAAGGUGGAAACUUCGGAGGAACAGGACCAUAUCAACCGUGACAGCCGUAUAACUACCAAGGUACGGGUUUUAACAAUCAAUUUGUACAACAGCAGGGAGUCACAACGAACCAGCUAGCUUCACAAAUCGGUAGACUUGAACAGUCCAUCCAACAGCUCGUUAUGACGAACAAAAAAGCAUCUAAAGACGUGAACGUGAAAGUUGACUGCAUGUACAAUGAUCUGAACGGGAGGUUUGAAGCUUUAUCUUCGCACGUCAAAAAGCUAGACGUGCAAGUCACCCAAACAGCCGACUCUAUGAAGAGGCAAAGUGGAGUUCUUCCAGGAAGAGUUGAAGAUAACCCUAAGAGGUUUUGCAACGCCAUAACCACAUUGCCCGAAGAAGAGGCCAUAACCGAUGGAAAGAAAGAAGAAACCCCAAUCUUUGUACCACUGUACAAGGAUGUCGAUGGCAAGCAGCUACCAUUUAAGGUACCUGAACGAUCACCGUUUCAAAGGCUUACAAAAGCCGACGAUCCGGGACGUUUUGUUUUCCAAUGUUUCAUUUCAGGAAUGAAGUUUACAGACUGCCUAUGCGAUUCCGGGCCAAUGUCAACAUCAUGUCAAAGACAUUUGCCGAACAAUUGGGCAUAAAAACCUUAAGGACAUCGACGGUUAAGGUUAUUUUUGGAGAUUCAUCUCAAAAAGAUAUUGAAGGGGCGAUUCAUGAUCUACAAGUUCUAGUGGGAGACAAGAUGGUUCCAGCAGAUUUCCAAGUCCUGGAGAUGGAUAAAGACAAGGAGAGGCCACUCAUUUUCGGGAGACCAUUCUUAGCUACCGUAGGAGCAGUAAUCGAUCACGUAAACUGGCAUGCUGUUUUCCUCAAUGUGGAUCGCAGAAGGUACUACCCGACUAUCUUAGACGAUUUUCCAAGCAAGGGAAACAGGCCCAAAGAGAAAGAAAAUGAGAAGCCGAAAGCUUUUGCAAAAAUCAAGAUCAUCAUUCCACCAGAUGCAACGGAAACUAGUGAGGACUAAAUCCAGGAGCUAAUCGAAAACACAAAAAGGGUUUUAAAUAAUGUUAAAGUCCGAAAGAAGAGUAAAGGAAAGAAGACGGCUCCUCAAGGAGAAGAAGUAAAACCUCCAGCGACCGGAAGUGAUAAGGGCACAUCAAGUGGAGUGCCAUUCAAAUCAGCCUGAUCCUUCAUGUCUACGUCGAGCUAAACGACUUAAAACAAAAGCGCUUAAUGGGAGGCAACCCAUUUAGGUACUCUUUCUUUUAGUUUUCUUUUUUUUUUUACAAUUUAUGCUUUCUCUUUCUAUUUAGUUUCAGGUAUUUUAUAAAACAAAAACACAAAAAAAUCAUAACAUUAGAAAAACCAAGAAGAAAAGGGUAGAUUUUUAGCUGCUCGGCCCGGCAAAGACCAGAAAGUUGGACAAAGGCCGCAGGAGAAAGAGCCGCGGUCGCGACCAACCGACCCGCAGCCAAAGGUGCAUCGACCGCAGCACCGUGAAUGUGACCGCGGCCGAGCCUUCAAUCGCCGCGGUCGCGAGUCUCCUGACCGCGGCCGUUGGUCGUUGAGGUGACGAUGCGGAUUUCCACCGCUUUUCAAAAGUUCCCGAAAUUCCUGGUGAUUUCCGGAGCAUUCCCGGUAAAGCACGUUAAGAUUUUCAGUAAGUUUUAAACCUCCUUUGCGUGCAAGACAAGAAAGGUAAGUUCCCGUAAAUUUAAAAAUUCCCGGAAAUUUUCCGUUUUUGCUACAAAAACGCUUUUUAAGGAAAGGAAAUGCACUUUUUGGAUCAAAACUCCUUCUUCUCUUCUCUUCCAAAAGACUUGGAGAUUUAGGAGAUAGAACACCUUUUUCAAUUCUUAAGCUUUUUAAGAGAUUCUUGACCCAAACCUCACUCUUUUUUCAAAGCUGAUUUCAAUUCUGUCAUGAAAUCUCUCUUUCCAGCAAGGUAUGAAGCUCAAACUCGCCAUUUUUAAUUGAUUUUAGAACUUAGGGUUUUCUUAAAAAGCCCAAAUCUUGGUUUAUUGAUGGUGGAAAUAGCUUAAGAACAAUAGAUUAUCCUUUUAGGUUAUCUAAAAAUCGAUUUUAACACCUAGCUUAAGAGGAAUUUAGAUUUUUGAAAUUUGGAUUCUACAUGCUUUAUAAAAAUCGAAUUUGGAACAGCAAAAUUGAUGAAUCUGAUUAAGUCUUGUGUGAUUAGUGAUUAAUAUUAGGUAACCUAUAGGUUUGACAUGGAAAUUGCUCAUUAAAACCGAUUUUUAGAAGAUUUCUAUGUUGAGAACAUCAAAAAUUCCGAAUCUAGUCAUGAACUACUCGAUUUCUUUGAUUUAAUGUCAAUUCUGCUUGCUCAUGGUUUUAAUUAAUCUCUUUAUACUAGUAUUAGUAUAACUGAUCUUAAUGUGUUAAAAUCAGCAUCCAUAUUCACUCUUUUUCCAAGAAUCAUUUCGUUUUGCAGAAAAAUGGAACAAACCAGAUCCCGAAGAAGCCAUCGCACUGGUGACAGCUCUGAGGACAUUCCUGAUGAUGCUACUCUAGGAGAUUACAUGCUGAACCAAGCCAGACUGAGAAGAAGAAACUAUGUGAUGAGAUUGCUCCAGCACUCAAGAGAAACACGAGCAGCUCCUGAGCCACCACAGAUUCGAUACAUUGGCAAGGAGAUAAACCCAAGAGUGGACUAUGAAAGACGUUUGAAGAAGCUGAACAUCAAACCCACGCCUGGCAUUGAUUAUCAUACACUUGAGAUGCUUGGAAUCAGAGAAGAUGUAAUCUGGUAACAUCGAUGCACUUAAGCUGAGACCCUACAUGGAGCUGAACCUUCUGACUUAUCCUGAGCUAGUCCGCGAGUUCUAAGCGACUAUUACUCUCCACCACACGAAGAGGAGGAACCCCAGAGCAUCAGAUGGCAUCUUGUCAUUCUAUAUCCGCGGACAGCCUUACUCGCUCACCAAUUCUGAACUUUGUGAGGCUCUUAAGCUUCCACACACCAAUGGCAUUUACCUUGAAGAUGAACCCGAUUUUAACUUGUGGAGAGAGAUGGGUCAUGGAGUCUAUGAUAGCGGGAGAUCCAAGUCAGCCCUUCUUCCUCAUCCAACAGUGAGAGUUGUGCACAAACUCUUAGCACACACGAUUUUAUCUAGAGCCAACAUGGGAUGUGUUUUGAAGACCGAGCUCAUUACACUUCAGAUGCCAUUUAUGGACGACCCACGACUUCCCUGCUUUGCGGAUCAUAACACAGAACAUGGUAAAGGUGAAGCAUGAUUUACAUGGUUGCGAGGACGCUACUCCAGCUUACGGGAGUGCUAUUACAGCGAUACUAUAGGCUGUAGGAUUCGAUUUUUCAUCUCAUGAUCCACUUCUCGAUGUGUGGUAUCACCUACUUUAUCUCUCUCGCGAUCACACUAUCUCUCGUGCCGCUUUCGAUCCAGACAGGUUUGGUUACAAGUAUUGCACUGGCGCUGAGGAGCACCGAGUCAGCUUUCCUUCGGCAUCAGUCCCGAGAUUGUGUAACGGAGGACGUCCGCGAUGGACUCCGGAACCCGAUGAUUUUCUGCCAUCUGUACCUUGUCUACCAUUCACCAUUGGCCAAUACAUAGUGGCCAAGGCAAAACGCGAUGCAGCUGCGGCCCGUGCUCACUUUCAGCCAUCUGUUUCGACCGGCCACACCUCAUCAUCGACAUCAUCGCACACACAUUCUGAUCUGGAGCGCAGAGUUGAGAGACAGGGACGACGCUUUGAGCGCGUUGCCACCUUCCUACAGGAGCAGCACCAAUUCACAGCAGACACAUCGGAGGAUGAGUGAUUGAUCAGCACUUCACUACCAUCACGGUUCUAUCAUCAUUUUCUUUUCUUUUAUCUUAUUUUAUUUCGCUUUUAUUCACCAUUUUCUCACAAACUUUUUCACACUGGGGAUAGUGUGAUUUAUGUCUGGGAAGGAUGUCUAUCCGUACUAAUCAUUUUCUUGCUUUUGCUUUUAAAUUUCAAGCACUUUUUAAAUAUUAUUAUGUAACCUAUUCGACAUUAAGUAUUUUUCAGGAAUGUUUGACACAAAACUAGACUAGGCGUGGUAGCUAGAGUACUUGCACUACGAACUCCCACCAGAGGACUUCUAUUCAUGGAGAUUCUUUCUGACAGGAUAUAUUAGCUCAUUUUAUUUGACCAUAAUAUUGAUAUCUAAUUUUCUCAUCAUUGAUUUUAGGCAUUGACAUACACAUCUAGGACGUCUUUUACCCUCACUUUUACAACUCGUCGUCGUCCUAGAUGACCAGUUUAUCUUUAUCUGGCACCAUACCCUAAACCCAAAACCCUUGUUUUCAAUCCUCAUGCAUUCUCUCUUUAGUUUAUAUCAGCAGAUAUGUGCAAAAACGUUGGAGAGAAGAGGAGCGACGCAGUUUUCAGUCACUCACAAAGGAGACUGAAUGGAAUUGGGAAGGAAGAGUAUCAGAAACCUCAUAAAGCUUUACAAGACAGAUAUUAACUGGUAAUUUCGUGCUCUCUAAGACUCUAUAUCUAAAGGUGUUCCCUCUCUUAAAAAAAAAAAAAAACGAAUGAAAAGAGAGAGGGAAAAAAAAGCCUAAUGAGUCUUAGAUUGUCGAAAUUUAUGGACAAAAAGCAUCUACUAAGCGUUUAUAGAGCUAUGUUUUUGAAAGAUUUACAACAAUCUAAGUCUGGGGGAGUUAGGAGAGAACCUGAGGAAGAAGACCAGGAAUCUAUGGCAAGAAGAAAGUGACUGAAAACUGGGAUACCAACAGCUUCACUAUCUCUUGCAGUUUUUCAUAAAAUCUUGCAUUCUCCUGAUCUUCAGGUAACCCGUAAACACUUUAAGCCUUACCCCUAGAAUAACCGUUUUGACACCUAGCCUAGAUUGCCUUGCCUAGACUUUCUUUGAUGAGAACCACCAAGAUUUUUAAUGAAUGUUAAGAGCUAGUUGACUGGAAGUUAGAUCCUAGUGCAUAGAUUUCCGCAUGACGGAUUAACGGACUAGUUAUGCCUGUAUUGCUAGUGAGAAUUUUCUAUGCUAUUCCCGAUUGAUGCAUACUGAUUGAUAUUGGUCUAGAAGUUUGCUCUAUGAGAUUUUGUUUAGUUCCUGCAUUUUCAAACCUCUCGCCGAGAUUUAGCCUUUGUUUUGUUUGAGGACAAACAAAAGACUAAGUCUGGGGGAGUUGAUAACACCGAAUUUUGACCAUUUUUAUGGAUCACUUAAAUAUCUUUUACAUGUGUUUUUACUCCAUUUCCAAAGGUUUUCAAAUGAUUUCUAUUUUUUCGGAUUUUAAAAGACUUUUCAGGUAAUUUGGGAUAAAGAGGCACAAAUUGGAACAAAAAGACUCUUUUGGAUAAAUGCAGACCGUCAGAACUCUCAUAGAGAGACGAAGACCUUCUCACCGUCUGAUCACCCUCAAAAUUGGACAACUUAUAGAAGAAUCAACCAGCUUUCAAAUGCACUUGGUUUGGAGACAUUCCAACGGUUGGAUCUCAAGAUAUUCCAUUAGCCCCGGAGCCACACGAAGACGGCCAACAAGUCACGCGACCGCGGCCAACAGCCCAUUUCCCGCGGUCACAAGCCUCCCGACAGCGGCCAACCACCUAUUCCCCGCGGUCACGUCACUCCCGACCGCGGCCGUCAAACUUCGAACUAAAGCCCAUAUUUCUGAAGCCCAAAGUCAUUCUCAGCCUCAAUUCCGGAACCCUAGAGACCAUGGAGUAUCGAAGACUAUAAAUACUUGCCAUUUAGGUCAUUUUUAGAGAGAACCCUUCAUACUUUACAGAAACCCUUUUUCCUUUAGCCGUUUUUAUGCGAUAUUUGUAGAAGAUUGUUCAAGUCCGAGGUCUUCAAUAGAGAAGCUUUCUUCAUCUCUUUUCUUUACUGUUUUUGAUUACUUUUAUUAAAACCAAUGAUGAUGUCGACCUCAGCCAUGUCUGAGUAGAUCCCGAGUUGGGCUUAGGGUUCCCGAAAGAGGCUCUCAUAAUUGAUUAAGACAUCUAGGUUUAUAGAUCUGGGAUUUCAACUUUGUUCUCUGUUUAUUCUUGUUCUUAUUGCAUGUAUGCUUGAUUGAUCACGUAGUAUCUGAUCUAGAUAAUUAGUGUUGCGAAAGUUUUCAUUAAGUAUCAGCCCUAGAAUGAAACAGGCGAUUUUUCCGUAGGAGUGGAAACCUACCUGCGGCGAGAUUGUGAGUAUUGACGAGCCUUGUGCAGCUCUUGCGUUCUCUCCCUUCCAAGGCCAGAGUGAAAACCUACUGGUCAGGGUUGCGAGAAACAGUUGGUUAUGAUCACGACAGUGACGUAGUCAUACCGCCGUACUCUAGCUCUAGAACCCUAUAUAUCGAUAUCCGUCAAUCCCAAUCUAUCUACCAUAGUGUCAAAACCGAUUAUGAUCCCUUAGAGUUCCCAAAAGCUCAGAGUUUUUAGCCAUAGUUUACAAACCAAUCGAUUUUUACUUGUUUAUUUAGAUCUGCAUUUCAAUUGCCUUAGUUCGAUAUUUUACUUGCUUUACUUGCUUUCCAUUCGAUUUUUCUACUUGCUUUCUAGGAUAGAUUUAUUUGCUUUCUUUAAAUUUUAGUUUAAUUCGUGAUAAACAACCAACCUUUAAAACCAAUCUAGUCUAGACAUAAAGUUAGAACCGUAGAAGAAUACCAGGCACACAAAUCUCUGUGGAUUCGAUCCCUAAAUACUACAACUGAUUAGCUGUGCACUUGCGGCUUUCAUUUGUUUUUGUUAAGGGUAAAACUUGUUCCCUCACGCAGUUGACACGCAAUCAAGCUCCAAAGUGCUCCAAAAUCUCUAAUUAAGCUCCAAACUUACCUAAGACUUGAAAAAACACUAGAAAGACUAUAAAUAAGACCUAUAUCAUAGUCAAAAACCAUAAAAACUAUGAUAUAUCGACUCCCCUAGACUUAUCAUUUCCUUGCCCUCAAGCAAACAGAUUACCAAAUAAGAGAAAGAGGUUUGAAAAACACGGAGAGUCAACUUUUCACUGGAACAUCGCUUUGAUCAAUCACCCUGUAAUUCAAAUACUGCUUCAUCAUUCCAAAUCGAACCACCAUGUAUUUCUCCGCAGACAUUCACAGCUUCCCAGAUUAAGUCCAACAUUCUACAACAUUGUCCAUAAACCCUCAUCGCUGGGUCUCACUGAUGAUUCUGAUGCCAAGAACCUUCUAGACUCUUUCCCAUACUAUACUCAAACAAAUCAUCCAUAUACUCCUUGGUAAUUUUCUCUCCCCCAGACUUAUUCUUUUCGCACUCUCAUCAUCAUUUUUUUUAUGGCAUAUACACGAUAUGGUUAAAGCUGCGAGUACUGAUGUUGUUUGCCAUCGAAUCCCCGAUUUGUCCCCUUACCAUGUAUCAAAUGUUUUCAGCGAAUAGUGGGGUCAUAAGAAAUUUUCCUACCCUUCGCUUCCUUCUUUUGAGUGAUCAUUCCUACUUAGAAGUGAAAUAAUGAGAUCCUUGGAAAUUUUCCUAGCCCUUCACUCCUAAAACAAAAUCAUCUCAAUCUUUUCGCCCUUUUCUUUCUUUUUUUUUUCUUUUUAGCUUGUCAUAAGGGUGAGAAGCACUAAUAUUAGAUCUCACACAGGCUUUCAUUUGUCAAGUACGAACGAGGAAUCAAGAUUUAUGAACACCAGUCACAUCAAUAAGGUAAAAGAAAGAGUUCAGAAAUUAGCUCAGGUUAAUGGACUUUGUUGGAAACAUGGACGCCUCUAGUCAACUGGUCAGCCUUUGAAUUUUUCAUUAGUCGGGUCUAGACUGAUUCUGCAGCAAUGGUCACUUAGAUGAAAGGUGAGCACAAUAAUUCCAAGAUGAGCAUAAUAAUCUCCAACAGGUUUUGACUCAAAACAAUUUGACACGACUGACUCUUAAGAAAAACAAACACAAUGUCAGCGACUACCUCCCCCAGACUUAAACAACACUGUCCCCAGUGUUAUCCAUCCUAAGGUUGGUGAAGGAGGAAAAUGUAAACAGAGGAGUUGGAUGCAAAGGGUUAGAAUGUCUUACUAACAAGGGCAUGUCGACCGACACACAGCUCAGAAUGGGCGAAAAUCCAAGCUUAGGUCGUCAGAUGAGUGAUGGUGACGAGCGACACCAGUGUUGGUGUCACGCGAUACCAUGUCUCGAAAUCCAACGUGUAGCACAAGGAAUUAUCAGAGUUAGCGCUGUGGAUCACUCAGACACAAGUCAGAAGUAACAAGACAAUCCAUAAAUGCAUAAACUCAGCAAGGUUCCACAACAAAUGUAGCUGACAUAACAGACUCAAACAAGUAAGAAGAAAAUAGAAGAAAGUAAAAGAGAAACAGAAGAAAAGAAAAUAGAACCAGAACGACCAAGGAACUAGUCCUCUUCGGUAGUAGCAUCAUCACCGGAGUGAGUGGGUGAACGGGAGUGUGGACGAGAAGUGCGAACAAAGCCAUAACAAGAGAGAGAGUAGCGAUGGCACCCAUGAUACUCUGAAAGCUCUGAACAACGUUCCUCUGAAAAGCAGCAGCCUCCAUGGGGAUCUCUGGUGCAGCAGGGAGAUCAGGAGCAGGAAAUGAGAUGCCAGCAGAGCGAGGUACCUGAUCAUCCUCAGAAGUGGAUGCACGAGCUUUGGAAGAUGUGCCGCAGGAGACUGUAAUCAGAGCACUCCGUUCUGAGUCGAAACAAAGUGUGAGAGGAUCUGUACCGAUAUCUGUACAUGCAUGAUCAGGUAGCUGAAUCACUGUCUCCUGUGAGGACCCAGCAGCAGUGCGAAAGAACCACUGUCGAUCAUGGUUGAUCUAAGAGGUGAACCGUGAGGAUAGUGUUGUUCUCUGUACUGAUCCCAAAAUAAUGGAAGAUGGGAGUCAAUAAGCUGCCCAUAGACUCAUUCCUCUGCUUUGUACCAACUCUAGAAACGGCUUGCUCUGCAGCAAAACCAAGUGAUGUGCAAAAACAGCUCCCAUGUUGACGUCAGUGGCAUGCGCAGAACUCUAGAAAUUCUCGGCAUCUGUGAGAUCACCUAUGGCAACAUAGAGAACAGCCAGCUCAUAGAGGCACAUCUUACCUGGAGCUGACUUACACUGAAUGGUUUUUUUCCAAGACGCGAAGAAGACAUCACAGAAGGGUGUCGCACAUCGGUCUGUGAUGUGGUCUUCGAAUCGUAGCGACCAUUUCAAAAAUGGGACCAGAAAGUCGGGACAUCGAUCGUCUGAGUAGGAAGGUAGACUCGUGGGAGAUCCUUCUGAAACCCAUAGAUAGCACAGAGGUCGCGGAAGGGCAGUCUAUAAUGAACUCCACGGAUCAAGAAGGUGAGAGUACCUUCCUGCGCAUUGGGAGCGGAUUCGUUGGCGUAGUAGAUGCGAACGGAAGCCAAGAACUGACGAGUAAGGUCGAGGUAAAGGUCGUAGGGCCUGGUAGCCAUUGUCCCCAAUCCCAGCUUAGCCAGCAGACAUAAAAGCUCAGAAUCCAAACCCAGACAUCGCAUAUCGAGAAUGUCUAGGAAACUGGUAGGGACCAUCUCGACGUUAAGACAAGAUUGUAGAAAAGCGUGUCGGAAUCGUCACAAUCAUCAGAAAUUGGCCUAUGGAGGCAAUCAACACUCUCAGACACCUUCUUGUGAGAUUCUUCCCAAACUCGCCUAGGAACAAUACGCACCUUCUCUCGUUUAGGCCAAGGGGGCCUAAUCAUCUAAGCUGGUGACUCAGGUGUAGCAGGAGGCAAUGGUGGUGGUAAGGAGGAGCGAGCUCGUGGUGGUGCAGCAGGUCGAAGAUGGGAGGAUGUCAACAGCUGCAAAUCCAGGGAGUCAGGGAAUUUCACCAAAUGGCGAGGUCCUGCGAGGACCGCAUUAAUGACCGCGCGGUGCCACUGAUCCCCUAUCAAAGCCUCGACGUGAUUGCAGAGGUUGAACAUCACUGGUUCAGUGGUUUGCGAGCUGGAGGCGUCGUUCCGGCAUCUGCAAAAUACAAAACAGAGCAAACCAAACAAAGAGGAAGAACGAAAAGUUAGCCAAAGUCAAAAUCAUGAAUUGGCUAUUCAGCAUUCCCUGAUAUCAAGAGAAACAAUCCUAGCAACACAAUCACCAGAGUUCACCCUAAAUUAGUUCUGAAACUCGACAUGCAAAAAUUUCGAACAAGAGUUUUUAUGAAGAACAAAAUUCCAAAAAUCUGCCAAACGGUCGUUUGAGAAGUGCGUGGUGAUGUUGAUGCGUGUCAACUGCGUGAGGGAACAGGUUUUACCAUUAAUAAAAACAAACAAAAGCCACAAGUGCACAGCUAAUCAAUUGUAGUAUUUAGAGAUCGAAUUCACAGAGAUUUGUGUGCCUGGUAUUCUUCUACGGUUUCGAACUUUAUGUCUAGACUAGAUUGGUUUUAGGGGUUGGUUGUUUGUCACAGAUUAAAAUAAAACUAAAGAAAGAAAAUAAAUCUAUCCUAAAGAACAAGUAGAAAAAUCAAAUGGAAAGCAAAUGAAGCAAGCAAAAUAUCGAACUAAAGUAAAUAAAAUGCAGAUCUAAAUGUUUCUGCCGGGCCGAGCAGCUAAAAACCUCUCCUUCUUUCUCGAUUUUUCUAAUUUUUUUUUAUUUUUUUUGUGUUUUUGUUUUAUAAAAAUACCUGAAACUUAAAAGAAAAAGGAAACAUAAUUUGUAAAAAGGAAAAGAAAACUAAAAGAAAGAGUACCUAAAUGGGUUGCCUCCCAUUAAGCGCUUUUGUUUUAAGUCGUUUAGCUUGACGUAGGCAAGAAGGAUCAGGCUGAUUUGAAUGGCACUCCACUUGAUGUGCCUUUAUCAUUUCCGGUCGCUGGAGGUUUAACUUCUUCUCUUUGAGGAGCCGUCUUCUUUCCUUUACUCUUAUUUCGGACUUUAACGUUGUUUAAAACCCUUUUCGUGUUUUCGAUCAGCUCCUGGAUUUGGUCCUCACUAGUCUCUGUCGCAUCUGGUGGAAUGAUGAUCUUGAUCUUUGUAAUAGCUUUCGGCUUCUCCUUUUCUUCCUCUUUUGGCCGGUUUCCUUUGCUUGGAAAAUCAUCUAGGACAGUCAGAUAAAACCUUCUGCGGAAGACAGCAUGCCGGUUCACGUGAUGGAUUACUGCUCCUACAGUAGCUAGUAAAUGUCUUCCGAAUAUUAGUGGUCUCUCCUUGUCCUGAAAUUUGCUGGAACAAUCUUGUCCCCUACUAGAACUUGUAGAUCAUGAAUCUCCCCUUCAGUAUCUUUUUAAGAUGAAUCUCCAAAGAUAACCUUGACCGUCGAUGUCCUUAAGGUUUUUAUGCCCAAUUUUUUGGCAAAUGUCUUUGACAUGAUGUUGACAUUGGCUCCGGAAUCGCAUAGACAGUCUGUGAACUUGAUUCCUGAAAUGAAACAUUGGAAAAGAAAACCUCCCAGAUCGUCGGCUUUUGUAUGCCUUUGAAACGUUGAACGUUGAGGUACUUUGAAUGGUGGCUGCUUGGCAUCGACAUCCUUGUAAAGUGGUACAAAGAUUGGGGUUUCUUCAUCUUUUCCAUCGGCUCUGGCUUCUUCUUCGGGUAGUGUGGUUAUGGCAUUGCAAAAUCUCUUGGGGUUAUCCUCAACUCUCCCGGGAAGAGCUCCACUUUGUCUCUUCAUUGUUUGGGAAACUUGUACGUCUAGCUUUUUGACGUGCGAAGAGAAAGCUUCAAACUUCCCGUUCAGGUCAUUGUACAUGCAUUCAAGCUUCACGUUCAUGUCUUUAGAUGCUUUCUCGUUUGUCAUAACAAGUUGUUGGAUGGAUUGUUCAAGUCUUCCGAUUUGCGAAGCUAGCUGGUUCGUUGUGACUCCUUGCUGUUGUACAAAUUGAUUGUUAAAACCCGUACCUUGAUAGUUAUAUGGCUGUCGCAGUUGAUAAGCUCCUGUCCCUCCGAAAUUUCCACUUUGGAACUUGUUUUGGAAGCAUAUUUGUUGGGGUGGGUAGUGCUGAUCUUGAGGAUUCUCCACAUUUGGGUUGCGGUAAAAUAGAUUGUUGUAGUUUGCAUUCCAGAAGUUGUUGUUGAAGCCAUUGUUGAAACGAUUUGGAUAUGGUGCUUGUGCUCCUACAUAGUUCACUUCUUCUUCUUGAAAGGCUGGAUUAAUGUGAUCAAUAUCACCAGGUCCUUCGUCUUCUGCGCCAUUGUUGGUCUCACAAGCAUGGAUUGGGAGAUUGUUGCUUUUCAAAAGCUGGCUCAUCAUGUUCUUCAACUCGGUUAUCUCCUUGUUGUCUGCUCCGGUUUACUUUGUCGAGCGAUCAUAUUCAGGACAAUCAUUGCUAUUGGCUUGAGCCAAAUUCUCGAUGAGGGCUUUACCUUGUGCUAUCGUCUUUUGUCCAAAAUCUCCAUUGCUAGCUGUAUCAAGCGAAAGUUUGUAUUUUGAUUGCUAACCUCGGUAAAAUGUGCUCAAUAGGCUUGAUCUAGAAAAUCCAUGGUGAGGGCAAUCACGUUCAUACUCCUUAAAUCGUUCCCAGGCUUCAUAGAAAGUUUCAGUCGGUCCUUGCUGAAAACUUGAGAUGUUGGUUCUCAAGAAGUUCGACCUUGACUUAGUAUAGAAGUGGUUCAGGAAAGCAAUUUUACAUUCUUCCCAAUUAGUAAUCGAUCCUGCAGGCAAAGAUUUCAACCAACGGUGAGCUUUGUCUGCUAAUGAAAAAGGGAACAACUUACACUUUAAAUAGUCUGCUGGAACUUGGGUUGUUCUCAUCAUGCUGCAGAUUUCUUCAAAGAGCUCGAUAUGGUCCAUUGGAUGUUCAGAAGGAACUCCAUGGAAUUGGUUUUGUUUCACCAAUGAGAUGAUUUGAGGUUUGACUUCAAACUCAUUCCGGUUUGGAAAUGGUACUUGAAUUGCGGAUCGGUUCUGAAAAUUCUGAGUAGGUGCAUCGUAAUCAGCUAUGCGAUGGUUCCUGGCUUGUCUUCGGUGUUGAUUUGCUUGCUGAACAGGGCGGUAAACGCGUCCAUUCGGCUGCAUCCCCUGGUGGUCACCAGUGGCUGCAUUGAUAGGUGCAUCAUGGUCUUCACGUUCUUCUCUCUCGCGGUUUUGAUGGUUUCUUGGAGGAACCUCAUCCUCUUCUCCAUCUUGUCGAGCAUGAUCACCUUCUCUGUGAUCGUUCUCUUCAUUUCUCCAUGUUUGGACCCGUCUUGGUCCAUGUUUAAAGCUCAGUUAACAGGAUCUCCAGGCUGGUCGAAGUUGGCCGUUCCUUGCGUUCGUCUAAGUCUUCAAAGUUCUCUUUCGUGUCUGUCUAUCUCGUCUAGAAUUGGAAUGUUUUCUACAGGUAUGCGCCUGGUAUUCAUGCAAUUCAGAGAAAAACAAA
rnacentral:lncRNA from 1 species